CUCUUAGGUGUUGUGAGGGUGUCGAGUUUCCACUGCAGCUCGGGAGGGGAAAGAUGGUCUGUGGCUCCGUUUAAGGUUGUCCUGAAUUCCAUCGUGCUUAUAUUUCCAACCAGGCUGAGCUUAUGUCUGGCACUCGUUAAAAAUCGGGAAAUCAAGAAACUCCCUUUUCUUCUGCGGUCAAAGGCUGCUGAUUCCCCACCGUCUGCUGUGUUGCUGUGUAUCGGCGCCGCGGGGCCUUAGGCAGUGACCCCCGGAGCAUCGUGGGCGCACAACAGCGGGCAGGAGAGGAUGCCACCGCAGAUGCAGGCUGUUCCUGCCCCCGCCACCCCUCACCACACCCAGCCUUUGCCUCUGGAUAAUCGGCCCCACCCUCACCUCUUCAGGAAACUCCAGAGGAGCCCCGCCUCCCCUCGGUGCUUCCAGCCCUUCAGUGGAUUGCCUCCCCCCAGCUUUUAUCUCUGUCACCCCUCUUCCCAUAUAGGUGACACUUCACUAGGCCUCGCAGACUGUGUCAGGGACUCGUGGACGUGGAUCCGCGUGUGUAUUUCAGCUCUUGGAGCUCCUACCUACUAACUGUGUUUAUGGUCUCCACCCCCCCAACCUUAGAAACAGCACUGGGCUUGGACUUGAGGGCCCUGGGAAUGAAAAUCAGGAUCAGGGGCGCCUGGGUGGCUCAGGCGGUGAAGAUCCGACUCUUGAUUUCGGCUUCGGUCAUGAUCUCAGGGUUGCAGGAUCCGGCCGUGCAGGGCUCCGAGCUCGGGGAGGAGUCUGCUUGAGAUGCCCUCUCUCCCUCUGCCCCUCCCCCUGUUGCAUUCUCUCUCUCUCUCUCUCUCUCUCUCAAAUAAAUAAAUAAGUAAGCAAAUAAAAUAUUUUCGAAAA